UACGAAGGGGGCUAGCGUUGCUCGGAAUUACUGGGCGUAAAGGGCGCGUAGGCGGACAGUUUAGUCAGAGGUGAAAGCCCAGGGCUCAACCUUGGAAUUGCCUUUGAUACUGGCUGUCUUGAGUUCGGGAGAGGUGAGUGGAAUGCCGAGUGUAGAGGUGAAAUUCGUAGAUAUUCGGCGGAACACCAGUGGCGAAGGCGACUCACUGGCCCGGAUACUGACGCUGAGGCGCGAAAGCGUGGGGAGCGAACAGG
rnacentral:rRNA from 1 species